CCCCUAGGUGUUCUGGGCCGCACGCGCGCUACACUGAACAGUUCAACAAGUCUUAACCUUGGCCGAUAGGUCUGGGUAAUCUUUGAACGCUGUUCGUGAUUGGGAUAGACCUUUGCAAUUAUGGGUCUUCAACGAGGAAUUCCUAGUAAACGCAAGUCAUCAGCUUGCAUUGAUUACGUCCCUGCCCUUUGUACACACCGCCCGUCGCACCUACCGAUUGAAUGGUCCGGUGAAAUCUCGGGACGGCGGCUCGGUCGCUUGCGUCCGACUGCUGAAACUUGAUUAAACCAUAUCAUUUAGAGGAAGGUGAANUCGUAACA
rnacentral:rRNA from 1 species